GCGGAUGUAGCUCAGUGGUAGAGCGCAACCUUGCCAAGGUUGAUGUCGUGGGUUCGAGUCCCAUCAUCCGCU
rnacentral:tRNA from 2 species